GAUGAAGAACGCAGCGAAAUGCGAUAAGUAAUGUGAAUUGCAGAAUUCAGUGAAUCAUCGAAUCUUUGAACGCACAUUGCGCCCGCUAGUAUUCUGGCGGGCAUGCCUGUCCGAGCGUCAUUUCAACCCUCAAGCCCCCGGGCUUGGUGUUGGGGAUCGGCGAGCCUCCGCGCCCGCCGUCCCCCAAAUCUAGUGGCGGUCUCGCUGUAGCUUCCUCUGCGUAGUAGCACACCUCGCACUGGGAAACAGCGCGGCCACGCCGUUAAACCCCCAACUUCUGAACGUUUGACCUCGGAUCAGGUAGGAAUACCCGCUGAACUUAAGCAUAUCAAUAAGCGGAGGA
rnacentral:misc_RNA from 1 species